rnacentral:rRNA from 1 species
AAUCGCGAAUCAGAAUGUCGCGGUGAAUACGUUCCCGGGCCUUGUACACACCGCCCGUCCACACCAUGAGAGUCGAUAACACCCGAAGCCUGUGAGCUAACCGCAAGGAGGCAGCAGUCGAAGGUGGGGUUGAUGAUUGGGGUGAAGUCGUAACAAGGUACC